UACAGAGGGGGCGAGCGUUGUUCGGAAUUACUGGGCGUAAAGGGCGCGUAGGCGGCCCGCUAAGUCGAACGUGAAAUCCCCAGGCUCAACCUGGGAACUGCGUCCGAUACUGGCAGGCUUGAAUCCGGGAGAGGGAUGUGGAAUUCCAGGUGUAGCGGUGAAAUGCGUAGAUAUCUGGAGGAACACCGGUGGCGAAGGACGGCAUCCUGGACCGGUAUUGACGCUGAGGCGCGAAAGCUAGGGGAGCAAACGGG
rnacentral:rRNA from 1 species